rnacentral:lncRNA from 1 species
AGGCUGUGGAAAAAUCAGUUGACACGAGUUAGAUGUACGACAUGGACUGCUACUGUGCACGCAGAGACGGAGGAGCUCAGAGGAACAGUGCGUUUAUUCUGCAUAAGCAGAGGUCGCAGCAGCCGCCUAUGUGGCCUCUUUUAUAACAGCCCUGAAGAGGCCGGGCAUGCUGGCUCGGGCCUGUAAUCCCAGCACUUUGGGAGGCCAAGGUGGGCAGAUCAUCUGAGGUGAGGAGUUCGAGACAAGCCUGGCCAACAUGGUGAAACCCCAUCCCUACUAAAAAUACAAAAAUUAGCUGGGCGUGGUGGCAGACACCUGUAGUUCCAGCUACUCAGGAGGCUGAGGCAGGAGAAUCACUUGAACCUGGGAGGCAGAGGUUGCAGUGAGCCAAGAUCACGCCACUGCACUCCAGCCUGGGGGACAGAGUGAGACUCUGUCUCAAACAAACAAACAAACAACAACAAAAAAACCAGCCCUGAAGAAAGACUUGGGGUUUACAGAGCAGAGGACUUUCAACGCAAGGAUGCCCUGUGUCAGUGUGCAGAGGCUCAGAAGCACUGCUCUUUUGAACAAAAGACCAAACACUACAGAUUGAAGCUGGGUUCCUGAUGGACACCUGCUCAUGUGCUUCUCUAUUUCCAGCAGCAGAGUUGGCUGGUCUGCUGCACAAGCGGGGCCCCUCUCUCCUGGGCCCAUAUGGGAUUCCUGCAGUGCUUGGCACCCAUGGCCACUCACCUUUCUGCACCCUGCUCUACAUCAAAGGCCAUUUUCAGUUGAUAAUUAUGGAAAGCUCAGUGAUGAUGAUGAUUUUCUUGAAAUUAUUUGUAAAGCAACAACUAAUACUUGGAAAGUGAUACAUUUCAAUUUUGAAGACACUGAAAUUCAGUAAACUUUAUUCAAAUGUUAUUGCAUGACUUCAAUUUGCACUUUCCAAACAAAAAUGUUACACCUAGCAGUUCAUAUAUUUGACCAUUUUUAAAUCCCUUCCUUCCUUCCUUUCUUUCUUUCUUCUUUCUUUUUCUCUUUCUUUCUUUUUCCUUUUUUCUUUAUUCCUUUCUUCCUUUCCUUCCUCUCCUUCCUUUCCUUCCUUCCUUCCUUCCUUCCUUCCUUCUUUUCUUUUUCUUUCUUCUUUCUUUCUUCUUUCUUUUCUUUCUUCUUUCUUUCUCUCUCCCCUGCUCCUUCCUUCCUUCCUUCUUCCUUCCUUUCUUUUUCUUUUUUUUUUCUGAGACAGGGUCUCACACUGUCACCCAGGCUAUAGUGCAGUGACACAAUCAUGGCUCACUGCAGCUUUGACUUCUGGACUCAGGUGACCCUCUGUCCUGCUCUCUCACCUCCCCAUGUAUCUGGGACAGAGUGAGACUUUGUCUCAAAAAAAAAA